AUUGAACGCUGGCGGCAGGCCUAACACAUGCGAGUCGAACGGUAACAGGAAGAAGCUUGCUUCUUUGCUGACGAGUGGCGGACGGGUGUGUAAUGUCUGGGAAACUGCCUGAUGGAGGGGGAUAACUACUGGAAACGGUAGCUAAUACCGCAUAACGUCGCAAGACCAAAGAGGGGGACCUUCGGGCCUCUUGCCAUCGGAUGUGCCCAGAUGGGAUUAGCUAGUAGGUGGGGUAACGGCUCACCUAGGCGACGAUCCCUAGCUGGUCUGAGAGGAUGACCAGCCACACUGGAACUGAGACACGGUCCAGACUCCUACGGGAGGCAGCAGUGGGGAAUAUUGCGCAAUGGGCGCAAGCCUGAUGCAGCCAUGCCGCGUGUAUGAAGAAGGCCUUCGGGUUGUAAAGUACUUUCAGCGGGGAGGAAGGGAGUAAAGUUAAUACCUUUGCUCAUUGACGUUACCCGCAGAAGAAGCACCGGCUAACUCCGUG
rnacentral:rRNA from 1 species